rnacentral:rRNA from 1 species
UACGUAGGGGGCAAGCGUUAUCCGGAAUUACUGGGUGUAAAGGGAGCGUAGACGGUGAUGUAAGUCUGGAGUGAAAGGCGGGGGCCCAACCCCCGGACUGCUCUGGAAACUAUGUGACUGGAGUGCAGGAGAGGUGAGCAGAAUUCCUAGUGUAGCGGUGAAAUGCGUAGAUAUUAGGAGGAACACCAGUGGCGAAGGCGGCUUACUGGACUGUAAAUGACGCUGAAGCACGAAAGCGUGGGUAUCGAACAGG